GGAAUUCGCAAGGCGAUAAUACGCUGAACAGAGCCGAUCAAGAAUUAUGCGCCUGCGUGAUCUGAAGAAGGUGGAGCGAAGGUUCUCUCGUCGACGCAUGCGCUUUGGCAGGCAUCGCCCCGCGCAGGUUGUAAGCCAUGGCGCAAUCUGAGAAAAAAGGUGGAUUACUUCGGAAAUCUUCAUCUAGUAAGAAACCCCUGAAAGAGAAGGUUGUGCUAAUGUAUGACGAGAUCUUCACAACAGAAGAUCCUAGUAAAUACAACCCUCGGUUUUGGGAGGAGCUCUUCCUCAUGAAGGUGAAUUUGGAAUAUCUGGAAGGAAAGCUGGAAUCUCUGGAUGGUGAAGAGCUAAUGAAGAUAAAAGAUAACAUUAAUUGCUUGUUCCAGCGUUGCAUUUGGGCUUUAGGAGAAGAGCACCCAAUCAGAGUGGUCAAUGCAUUGCAGACCCUAUGUGCGCUGAUCCGUGGGGUUCAUCAGAAGAACAAAUCCACAUCUGGUUUUGACAUCAUCAAUAUGCUAAUGGGCUUUGACAAGGCUGAAUUGUGCAUGAAGAAUCUGAUGGAGAGUUUGGAUGCUUUACUUUGUGCAGAAGGCUCUGAAAGUCUCAAAAGUUUGUGCCUGAAGCUUUUGCUUUGUUUGGUGACUGUGACAGAUAAUAUCAGUCAGAACACAAUUCUGGAAUAUGUGAUGAUUAAUAGCAUUUUUGAAGCUAUCUUACAGAUCCUUUCUAAUCUUCCCAGUCGCAGGGAACACGGUUAUGAGGCCGUGGUCCUGCUUGCAUUAUUAGUGAACUAUAGAAAGUAUGAGUCUGUGAAUCCUUAUAUAGUAAAACUAUCUAUUAUAGAUGAUGAAGCUACACUGAAUGGAAUGGGUCUUGUAGUUGCCCAGGCGUUAUCAGAAUAUAAUCGACAGUUCAGAGACAAAGAAGAAGAACAUCAGAGUGGAUUUUUCUCAGCCUUGACUAACAUGGUGGGCAAUAUGUUCAUUGCUGAUGCUGAUGAAAAAAUCUCAGUCCAAACUAACGAAGCUAUCCUUUUGGCUCUUUAUGAAGCUGUUCACUUGAAUCGAAACUUUAUCACUGUAUUGGCACAGAGUCAUCCUGAAAUUGGUUUAGUAACAAUUCCGGUAAGCCCAGUUCCGACUACACCCGUUACUCCACUUGGAACCACACCACCUUCUUCUGAUGUCAUAAGCACUGUAGAGCUUCCCUUGGAUGCUGACGUGCAGACAAGCAACCUGCUGAUAACCUUCUUAAAGUACAGUUCUAUUGUCAUGCAGGAUACCAAAGAUGAACACCGGCUCCAUAGUGGAAAGCUCUGCCUGAUUAUCUUAACCUGCAUAGCAGAGGACCAGUAUGCUAAUGCUUUUCUGCAUGAUGACAAUAUGAAUUUUCGUGUAAACCUCCACAGAAUGCCUAUGAGACACAGAAAGAAAGCUGCUGAUAAGAAUCUUCCCUGUCGACCUCUAGUUUGUGCAGUGCUGGAUCUGAUGGUGGAAUUCAUAAUAACACACAUGAUGAAAGAAUUUCCCAUGGAUCUCUAUGUAUGCUGUAUUCAAAUAGUACACAAGCUGCUUUGCUACCAGAAAAAGUGCAGAGUGAGACUUCAUUACACUUGGAGGGAACUCUGGACAGCUCUGAUUAAUCUGUUGAAGUUCCUCAUGUCUAACGAAACAGUUUUGCUGGCAAAAUAUAACAUCUUUACCUUGGCUCUGAUGGUGAUAAACCUAUUUAAUAUGUUCAUCACUUAUGGAGAUACCUUUCUUCCAACUCCUAGCAGCUACGAUGAGCUUUAUUAUGAAAUAAUCAGGAUGCACCAGAGUUUUGAUAACCUAUAUUCCAUGGUUCUAAGGCUUUCUACUAAUGCUGGCCAGUGGAAGGAGCCAGCCAGUAAGGUGACUCAUGCAUUGGUCAACAUACGAGCUAUCAUCAACCACUUCAAUCCAAAGAUAGAGUCCUAUGCUGCCGUUAAUCACAUCUCACAGCUCUCUGAAGAACAGGUUCAAACUUCAAAACCAGAUGAUCGGAAUAUUUUCAGUUUGACAAGGUUUUGGAAGUGGUGCGCUCCAACUAUGAUACACUUACCUUAAAAUUACAGGAUGGGCUUGACCAAUAUGAGCGCUACUCAGAACAACACAAAGAAGCCUCUUUCUUUAAAGAGCUGGUUCGGUCCAUCAGCAUCAAUGUACGGCGAAAUCUGGCAUUCAACACUCUUAGCCAGGAAGCCCUGCUAAAAGAGUUUUCAACCAUCUCCUGAAGUUAUGUACUUGCUUCAUAACUAGUCCUGAUAUUACCGUAUCACUUCCUGCAGAAUAGCUCCUGGAUGUGGAACAGUCUAACUCUACUGUGUGCUUUUGUUUUUGUUUUGUUUUGUUUUUACAGAGAAGAUCAAGGGAAGGCCUAGACUUACCCCAUACUCUUGAGCAUAGAGAAUUAACAAUAUAGACUGCAUUGGGAGUGGGAAAGAAGGGGCAUGGGGUUAUUUCUCUUUUUUAAUUUCUUUGUGACAACUGUUGUGUAGAGAUAAGAAUUGUUUACUGAGUGAGCAAGAAUAGAGCAGAAGAGGCUUAGAGAGUUUAUACUUAAUGGUUCUCUGAAGACUGCUGAAGCCUGAAGCAAGAAAGGGGAACAGGAACCAAGGUCUUGAUAAUAUGGAACUGUCUGGUUGGACACUUAUCUUAUGUAAAUUUGUACUUGGAUGCUUUGAAUCUGCAGUUCAUGUAUGUUGUUAGGUCCGUUUUAGUUGGUGCUGAAAUUAACAGCUACGGGCUCUGUCUUUAUUCUGCACAAGGCCUCCUACUAUUCUAAUGGUCUUGACAGAACUCCACCUCAGGAUGGUCUUGGUGCCCAACCUAAAGCUCUCGCUGUCUGGAGUUUCUUAGUUGAGAGAUUAUCUCUAUGAGUUUAUUCUUACUGUUCCACUGUGCCAUGUUUUAAAACCUUGGGAAUGAAGAUAUUAAGAUGUAUCAGUGAUUCCCCCACCCCAAAGGAGCAAUAAGGGAAAACAUUGUUUGGUUUUACUUCUACCAUUGUUGUGCAUCAAAAGAAGCCAGUUCUUCCUGUACCCAGAAGACUGACUGAGCUCUUGCCCUAGAGUCCUUAACUUUUUUCUGGUCUGGUAGCCAUAGAUUCUCUACAUACUGGUAGGGUAAUCGAGUGCUCCCAUCAGGCUUGUCACUGUUCUUUCUAUCAAAAAUAACCUCUGUGAAUUCCACAGUGAUUGCAGAUGUUUAAGUCAGUUCACAAUUUAUGUAUUCCAAUAAAGUACUUCAUUGGAAAUUCAGAAUUAAAAUAAUAAUUUGUCUAUUUUAUCAGUUCUUACUUUUUUAAAAAAGAAAUAUUUAUUUGGGAGGGAAAUAUAUUUAUAGUCAUUCUUUACUCCUGUCCAUCAAAUGAAAUAACUCAUGUGAACUAGAGUUGUACAAUUAUUCUGUCAAUUUUUUCUCAUUAUUUGCAGGAUUUAUUUUCCAGCCAUUUUUAAUGAAAAUGAUAACUAAGACACUUAAUUUUUUGCAUUGUAUGUAAAGAAUUCACACAACUGCACUUUGUUAGAAAAUUAAAAGUUGUGAUUCUGGCA